AAUUUUUUUUAAAAAAAGGGGCUGAAAGCCCUAACAGAAGCAGCAGCAACGCUGCAACUUCAGGGAUCAAAAGAAGAAAAAAAAAAAAAAAGGACUCUUCUUGUUCUAUAGUGAGCGAACGAACGAAGGAGAAACAUAAAUUUAAAUUGAAAGCCUUAGCUCUCAAACUAAAGAGAGAGGUGGAAGAAGAAGAAGAACGAGAAGAAGAUUGACCAAAGGAAUUCGUACGGAGUGAUUGAGUGGCAAGCUUGGUAACUCAACACAAGUACAAGAAUUCAAGUGGUAUUGAAGAGGAUUUCAUUAACUAGCGUGUGAGUUGGUAGCAUCUGGUGAGCCCCGCAUUGCUUCGCGUGGCAAGAGAGCUAUUGAUUUGUUAAGUUUAUUUAGUUUCUUUUAAAAACUCUUAGAGUUGCUCCAUUUGUCAUUCUUUUGAUUGAGUCAAUAUUAGUCCUUCGAAUUGUAGUUAAGUGACUAGUUUAGAAUUUUUUUUCCGAAAUUUGGAGAUGAAUUGGUUUUAUUGCGCAACAAUUUGAUCAUUGAUGGAUAUUAAAUGGUGGUUUAUAGUUGCUAUUAGUUGUGUUGUGAAAUUCUGAGACAGGAAAAAUCCAGGAUAGGCCUAAAAACAAAGGAAACUCUGCCCGAUUUUCUGUAGAGUUCUGGUGAGGCUUGCUUUGGGAUUCUCCCCCUUAGCGCCGGUCAUGAUCCUUAAUUGGGUCGUGACAAAGUUGGUAUCAGAGCCCUAAGUUAUUCUUAUGACCUAUGGAGCACACGUUAGUAGUAGAAUCUCAAUUAUGGUUAUGUUGCCAGCCAUUUCUAUAAUCGUGAUUCUGCGAGGACGUGAUAGGAUGUGUCUUGUCCUUCUUUCUCAUUCCUGCUUAUGUGUGUGACGUUUAGGGCCAACUAGAUUAAUCUAACAUUAUUCGU